rnacentral:rRNA from 1 species
UACGUAAGGCGCAAGCGUUGUCCGGAAUUAUUGGGCGUAAAGAGCUCGUAGGCGGUCUGUCGCGUCUGUUGUGAAAACUCGAGGCUCAACCUCGGGCUUGCAGUGGAUACGGGCAGACUAGAGUGCGGUAGGGGAGACUGGAAUUCCUGGUGUAGCGGUGGAAUGCGCAGAUAUCAGGAGGAACACCGAUGGCGAAGGCAGGUCUCUGGGCCGCAACUGACGCUGAGGAGCGAAAGCAUGGGGAGCGAACAGG